rnacentral:lncRNA from 10 species
AAUACAUCCUGGUGUGCUCUGCCUUGAAGUGUUUUUUUCCUGUCUGCCCAUCCAGCAUCUUAUUUAUGCCCCAUUCUGUCCCUCUCUCUCGUUGCCUUUGUUCUGUGGUCUCCUGGGUGAUGGAGUUAUUGUUUGUGUGUAGGGAUGUGUGGAUAAAAGGGAGCUGAUUUCUAGAGGUGAGAUGGCCCUGUGGUUAACGGUUGGAGGCUGCUGUUGACAAGGCCUGUUGCUGUGGCAGUUUUGCUCCGGAAGUGGCCAUUUUCUGGGCAGGGCUCCACCAGAGCACCAUCUGUCUGUGCCUUUUACUUCCUGUCAAGAGGCAGCAGGCUUCGUGAGCUGGGGAAGUGCCAGAAGCAGCCUUCGAAUUAGACAGACCUGGACCCAAACCCUUUCUCUUCCCCCCACCCAUUUUGGCAUCUUGGCACGAGACUGUCCCCAUUUCUGGAAAGGGUGUUCACAAGAACAGUCUGGCUGGGUUGUUGGGAUGACCGAGUGUGAUCAUGCGUCUCUAUGGCUGGCCAUGGUGUUUAUUCGAUGGCAGGUAUUACCAGGAUGGAGCGAGUCCCAGUAGGAAGGGCCUUUAGGAUGUCAUCUGGUUCCACCCAACAGGGAUGGGAACUGUAAUUCCCCACUCUCCCUGUGGAGAAUCAGGGCGGGCUCCGGAUGGAUGGCCAAAGGCUGCACAGAGAACAGGCGCUCCUGUGAAGAGGAAGCCUCAGGAGGGAGUGAGAGCAGAAGGGAGCCCACCUGUGGUUGUCUCAGCAACAGCAGAAGAACCUGGGCCGCUGGGAGUGGAGUUGGAGAGAAACAGGUUGAUUUGGAAGUUCUUCUGCAGGUAGAACGGAAAGGCGAAUUCUGCAAGAUGCUCUGGGGUCCACUGAGCUCAGCUGCUGAGGCUCAGCUCUUUCUGUGGCUUCUUCUUGAGCAGCC